AUGAUAACCAGGUUCCGUAAGAAGCACAAUAAAGUCGGUAUGAAGGCUAUGAGAGGAUGGGCAAUACAGAUAUUGAGAGGGCUGGAAUAUCUUCAGAGUCAGGAACCAUCCAUUAUUCAUAGGGAUUUAAGGUGUGACAACAUAUUCAUAAACGGUCAUGAUGGACAAGUGAAGAUUGGCGACUUUGGUCUGGCGACAUUUUUGCAUCAACGGAAAACGAGAAGUAUCAAAGGCACAUUAGAGUUUAUGGCACCAGAACUCUUCACUGGGAAUUACAACGAGUUGGUGGAUAUAUAUUCAUUUGGGAUGUGCAUGCUUGAAAUGGUGACAUGUGAAUAACCAUAUAGUGAAUGCGAAGGCAAGCCAUGGAUAUACAAGAAAAUUUGUGAAGUAAGUGCUUUGGGGUCCAGGUAUAAAACCAGCUGUGCUUUCAGAGGUUUCAUAGAAAUCUGUUUGGCUCCGGCAGCUGAAAGACUUUGUGCAAGUGAGCUCUUGAAGAACUGUUUCCUCCAGAAAGCGCCUCCUAUUUCAGUCUCCCUGAUCUCGAGUGUGACUAAAGAUGGGCGGCAGUCUGCCAGUUUCAUGCUAUGGAAGGGUGAAUUCUCACUAAAAGGAGACAUGCAUGUCACCGACCAUGUUAAUUUAUCGCUAAGAUUUCCUGAUCCCAGUGGUUGUUUUAAGAAUGUCGAGUUCCCAUUCGAUGUGGACCAAGAUACCAGCCUUUCUGUGGCUCUGGAAAUGGUCGACACUUUUGGACGGUGGCGGCGGCGGUGA
rnacentral:rRNA from 1 species